UCUGGGAUAUUGCCAGACGACGCGCAAGUUGGAUUGGUUGGUAGAGUACAUCUAAAGUUUUGUUCUAUUUUGAUCAACUAGAGCAGUUCAAGUUGUCUAAAUUUCAGUGGACACUGGGAACAUUACGAGUACAAUGAGCAGAGUAUCAGCUUCCCUGGUUAGUGAAACGAAGCACGAGAAGGUGUUUGAAGAUAUAUUUGGAACAGACUACACUUCAAAGUCAGAAUAGGUACAAAAGAACCUUCUCCAGCUUGUGCUAUUCAAGGAAUCAUAACUUCUUCCUGAAGGAAUUGGUGUAGAUAUGUUUUACCAUCUUUCAUGGCAAUAUGAUUCGUUAUCGCGUGAUUGUUUGCAGAUUCUUUGUAAAAUUCCUUUGCUUCAGAAUAUUGAGUUGCUUUAUUUUUAAAAAAGUCAAGAGGGAUGCCUUUUUAACAUUACCAAUUGAAGCAAGUAGCACUGAUGUCUAACAAUAAUUUGCCUUCAAAAGCAAAGAAACUUUUCCGUUUUGUAUGAUCUUUGCAAGUGGGAUUCAGAAUAUGGUGUUAGAAUGAAAACUGUCUUCCAGAUUGUAUGAUUA